UGUUUCGACACACUAUCAUUAACUGAAUCCAUAGGUUAAUGAGGCGAACCGGGGGAACUGAAACAUCUAAGUACCCCGAGGAAAAGAAAUCAACCGAGAUUCCCCCAGUAGCGGCGAGCGAACGGGGAGCAGCCCAGAGCCUGAAUCAGUGUGUGUGUUAGUGGAAGCGUCUGGAAAGGCGCGCGAUACAGGGUGACAGCCCCGUACACAAAAAUGCACAUGCUGUGAGCUCGAUGAGUAGGGCGGGACACGUGGUAUCCUGUCUGAAUAUGGGGGGACCAUCCUCCAAGGCUAAAUACUCCUGACUGACCGAUAGUGAACCAGUACCGUGAGGGAAAGGCGAAAAGAACCCCGGCGAGGGGAGUGAAAAAGAACCUGAAACCGUGUACGUACAAGCAGUGGGAGCACGCUUAGGCGUGUGACUGCGUACCUUUUGUAUAAUGGGUCAGCGACUUAUAUUCUGUAGCAAGGUUAACCGAAUAGGGGAGCCGAAGGGAAACCGAGUCUUAACUGGGCGUUAAGUUGCAGGGUAUAGACCCGAAACCCGGUGAUCUAGCCAUGGGCAGGUUGAAGGUUGGGUAACACUAACUGGAGGACCGAACCGACUAAUGUUGAAAAAUUAGCGGAUGACUUGUGGCUGGGGGUGAAAGGCCAAUCAAACCGGGAGAUAGCUGGUUCUCCCCGAAAGCU
rnacentral:rRNA from 1 species